GACGAACGCUGGCGGCGUGCUUAACACAUGCAAGUCGAACGAGUGGCGAACGGGUGAGUAAUACGUGAGUAACCUGCCCUCUUUUUGGGAUAAGCCUUGGAAACGGGGUCUAAUACCGGAUAAAGGGGGAUGGGCUCGCGGCCUAUCAGCUUGUUGGUGGGGUGAUGGCCUACCAAGGCGGCGCGGGGUAGCCGGCCUGAGAGGGUGACCGGCCACAGUGGGCAUGAGAUACGGCUCAGAGUCCUACGGGAGGCAGCAGUGGGUGAUAUUGCACAAUGGGCGAAAGCCUGAUGCAGCGACGCCGCGUGGGGGAUGAAGGCUUUCGGGUUGUAAACCUGUUUCGCUAUCGAACCGUUACUCGCAGAAGAAGCACCGGCUAACUCCGUGCCAGCAGCCGCGGUAAUAC
rnacentral:rRNA from 1 species